rnacentral:tRNA from 1 species
GCCUGAGUGGCUCAGUGGUUGAGCAUCUGCCUUCAGCUCGGGGCAUAAUCCCUGGGUUCGAGUCCCACGUCGGGCU